rnacentral:misc_RNA from 1 species
UAUUUUAAUACAAAGGGCAAUAGAUUAAUUAAAAAUGCUAUUCCAACAUUAAAUUUGCCACAACCAUUGGAUGUCUUCUAGUCUUUUGGUAGAUUUUCCUUUAUAUGGUGAAGAAAAAGAAAAAUCUCAAGUCUUGAAAGUUUUCAAGAUAUAACAAAUUCAGAGAAUGUGCAAUGCAAUGAAAAUAUUUUAUCUAAAAU